ACGAACGCUGGCGGCGUGCCUAAUACAUGCAAGUCGAACGCUUCUUUUUCCACCGGAGCUUGCUCCACCGGAAAAAGAGGAGUGGCGAACGGGUGAGUAACACGUGGGUAACCUGCCCAUCAGAAGGGGAUAACACUUGGAAACAGGUGCUAAUACCGUAUAACAAUCGAAACCGCAUGGUUUUGAUUUGAAAGGCGCUUUCGGGUGUCGCUGAUGGAUGGACCCGCGGUGCAUUAGCUAGUUGGUGAGGUAACGGCUCACCAAGGCGACGAUGCAUAGCCGACCUGAGAGGGUGAUCGGCCACAUUGGGACUGAGACACGGCCCAAACUCCUACGGGAGGCAGCAGUAGGGAAUCUUCGGCAAUGGACGAAAGUCUGACCGAGCAACGCCGCGUGAGUGAAGAAGGUUUUCGGAUCGUAAAACUCUGUUGUUAGAGAAGAACAAGGAUGAGAGUAACUGUUCAUCCCUUGACGGUAUCUAACCAGAAAGCCACGGCUAACUACGUGCCAGCAGCCGCGGUAAUACGUAGGUGGCAAGCGUUGUCCGGAUUUAUUGGGCGUAAAGCGAGCGCAGGCGGUUUCUUAAGUCUGAUGUGAAAGCCCCCGGCUCAACCGGGGAGGGUCAUUGGAAACUGGGAGACUUGAGUGCAGAAGAGGAGAGUGGAAUUCCAUGUGUAGCGGUGAAAUGCGUAGAUAUAUGGAGGAACACCAGUGGCGAAGGCGGCUCUCUGGUCUGUAACUGACGCUGAGGCUCGAAAGCGUGGGGAGCAAACAGGAUUAGAUACCCUGGUAGUCCACGCCGUAAACGAUGAGUGCUAAGUGUUGGAGGGUUUCCGCCCUUCAGUGCUGCAGCUAACGCAUUAAGCACUCCGCCUGGGGAGUACGACCGCAAGGUUGAAACUCAAAGGAAUUGACGGGGGCCCGCACAAGCGGUGGAGCAUGUGGUUUAAUUCGAAGCAACGCGAAGAACCUUACCAGGUCUUGACAUCCUUUGACCACUCUAGAGAUAGAGCUUCCCCUUCGGGGGCAAAGUGACAGGUGGUGCAUGGUUGUCGUCAGCUCGUGUCGUGAGAUGUUGGGUUAAGUCCCGCAACGAGCGCAACCCUUAUUGCCAGUUACUACGCAAGAGGACUCUGGCGAGACUGCCGUUGACAAAACGGAGGAAGGUGGGGAUGACGUCAAAUCAUCAUGCCCCUUAUGACCUGGGCUACACACGUGCUACAAUGGGAAGUACAACGAGUCGCAAAGUCGCGAGGCUAAGCUAAUCUCUUAAAGCUUCUCUCAGUUCGGAUUGUAGGCUGCAACUCGCCUACAUGAAGCCGGAAUCGCUAGUAAUCGCGGAUCAGCACGCCGCGGUGAAUACGUUCCCGGGCCUUGUACACACCGCCCGUCACACCACGAGAGUUUGUAACACCCGAAGUCGGUGAGGUAACCUUUUGGAGCCAGCCGCCUAAGGUGGGAUAGAUGAUUGGGGUG
rnacentral:rRNA from 1 species